CAUCAUUUAUGUGUUACACAUUUUCAACACAUGACAACACAGCUUUGCUACUGAGCAAAGUCUUAUUUAAAAGAUUCACUUCUUAUUCUAGCUUUCUUUUUUACUGUGUGCCUGCACGGUCAUUCUCACCACUUGACGGUAGAGGAGUUUUUUUUUUUUUUUAGUUCAUACGCCGUUCUCAGAAUAUGAAAGUCUGUCGGCUUCAGCCAGAUGAGCAGCAGGCCAUUAGCACUUUUGCUCAGAGGUAGUUUUUUCAAACGAGGAAAAUGUGGGUGCCAACCGCUUGGACCAUUUUUGGCUUCCAUGAAGAGUUUCUUUCUACAAAGUGCAGAUUUAAGAGCCUCUUUCUGCGUGAUUACAUGUGUUUAGCGUGAACGCAUACGUGCGUGUGUGUGUGUGUGUGUGUGUGUGUGUGUGUGUGUGUGUGUGUGUGCGUGCACGCUCUGUGCCGGCUCAUCCAUAGUGAGUUGAGGUCCACCGCCUCGGGGCAGAGUCCAACUCAUUCUCCCAUCACACUCCUCCGCCCACUCAGUCUGACAGACUGGUUUGAGAUAGGAACAAAGCCAACAUUCAUGAAAAAAAUCCCCGAAAAAUAGCACAUCUACCCGAGAGCUUUUGUGAGACUACAAUCCAUUAGUUUAGCACAAAGACGUAUUUCUAUCCUGUUUGCUUUGUUUUCAUGGAUUUACUCAAAUAUUUCUAAAUGAAUUUAAUGGUGAUAGUUGGCAGAAUUCCCACAUGCGUGUAUUAAAACUGACAUUCUUAUUUAAUUCUUCAACUGUUGCACCCUCUUAACCUCCCCUCACAGGUCUUUGUGCAGCCAUAACUAUAAACCUUGCAUUGACGUCUUCUUUCCCUACCCUGGCUGACAGCGUUUUUACAAACUGCAUGGAUCCAUUUUCUGCUUUCCCUUCUUUUCCCUGGUUUCCUUUCUCCCCCCAAAAGCCCGGCCCCUCCUAACAUUUCUCAGAGAACUAAAAGAAAUUGGAGGAGUUUUUGUUCUGCAUGGAGGAGAAUCACGCCGAGGAUGGCUGCAGCGAGACGGCGGACCUGACAGAGCGCUGCGAGCUGAUCAGUGAUAGGCUGCUGACCUUGGAAGAUGAAUUGCAGACGGCCGUACUGAACCGGGACUGUGUCCUUACCCAUAUCCUUUCACUGUUCUCUAAAUAUACUGUAUGCUACCUGUGCGUGUUUCUGUCUUUGUCCAUCCAUCUUCAGGACCUAGUUUCCUCGAGGUCUUUACACUCUAAAAAAAGCACACAGCCGAACUACCUUUAGGCCCUCUGAUGUUCUGUGACUUUACCUUUUGUGAGGGAAAAAAAAAAUCAACCUGUCUUAUUUGACAUUAUGGGACCAUUCAGCUAAGGAAUUGCAGAUAAACUGGGAUCAGAGGAUCUUUCUUGACAUGCCUGCUGAAAAAUGGUAAAAGUCCUCGUGAGCUUAUUGGGGGGCGCUUGAUGUGGGCUGCCAGUCACCACGGGCUGAGAUUAAAGUCGGCGAACGGGAGCGAAUUGGAAUGUCACCGUAAUGACUCUGCUCCCGUCAUAUCGUCACGUCCACCCUCCCGCUGACCCUCGCCCCCCUCCACCCCCUCCUCCGUCUGCUUACUUCCACUUGCUGCAUCUGGCUCGGAGGAAAUUACAAUAUCUAUGAUAAUGACUCAAAUGAAGCUGAUUACCGGUUACAAUACAUAAUUUUCCGUGCUAAUUAGAAAGCUGAUUGGAAAUAGAUUAGUAUGUUUUUCUCUCUCUCAACUUUCCCCCCCUUAUUAAGCC
ensembl:lncRNA